rnacentral:rRNA from 1 species
ACUCCUACGGGAGGCAGCAGUAGGGAAUUUUCCGCAAUGGACGAAAGUCUGACGGAGCAAUGCCGCGUGAGUGAUGAAGGUUUUCGAAUCGUAAAGCUCUGUUGUAAGGGAAGAAUAGCAAGAAUAGGAAAUGAUUCUUGUCUGAUGGUACCUUACCAGAAAGCCACGGCUAACUACGUGCCAGCAGGCCGCGGUAAUACGUAGGGUGGCAAGCGUUAUCCGGAAUUAUUUGGGCGUAAAGCGCAUGUAGGCGGCUUUUUAAGUCUGAUGUGAAAAGCCAGUGGCUCAACCACUGAAUUGCAUUGGAUACUGGAAAGCUAGAAUCUUGGAGAGGUAA